UGGGGAAUUUUGCACAAUGGGGGAAACCCUGAUGCAGCGACGCCGCGUGAUUUAGAAGGCCUUCGGGUUGUAAAAAUCUUUUCUAUGGGAAGAAAAUGACAGUACCAUAGGAAUAAGGACCGGCUAAUUACGUGCCAGCAGCCGCGGUAAUACGUAAGGUCCGAGCGUUGUCCGGAAUCAUUGGGCGUAAAGGGUACGUAGGCGGGUAAGCAAGUUAGAAGUGAAAUCCUGUAGCUCAACUACAGUAAGCUUUUAAAACUGCUCAUCUUGAGAUAUGGAAGGGAAAGUGGAAUUCCUAGUGUAGCGGUGAAAUGCGCAGAUAUUAGGAGGAAUACCGGUGGCGAAGGCGACUUUCUGGUCUGUAACUGACGCUGAGGCUCGAAAGCGUGGGUAGCAAACAGG
rnacentral:rRNA from 1 species